AGCCUAUAAGCCGUUUUCUUCUCUUCAUCCCGAGUUCCUCCAUCACUUGCAUCUCAAUCUCUGCGACUCUUUGGAAUUUUGCCCUAAUUUUGCUAUCUUCAGCAUUUCAAGCCUAUAAGCCAUUUUCUUCUCUGCCUAGAAGCCGUUUUCUUCUCUGCCUAGAAGCCAUUUUCUUCUCUACCUAAAAGUCGUUUUCUUCUCUGCCUAGAAGCCGUUUUUUCUCUUCCGCCCGAGUUUCUCCAUCGCUUGCAUCUCAAUCUCUACGGUUUUUUUGGAAUUUUGCCCUAAUUUUGGUCUCUCUUCAGUAUUUCAAGCCUAGAAGCCGUUUUCUUCUCUUCCUCCCGAGCACCUCCAUCGCUUGCAUCUCAAUCUCUACGGCUCUUUCAUUUUUUCUCGCAUUCGUCUCUCUCGAAAAUUUGAAUAAGGAAGAGACUUGAUGUCAGGAACUAUUCUUCGUGGCUGUAUGCAUCUUGUUGAUCAGGCCGACAGUGAGAGAGUAGACAAAUCUGAGGUCAAUGGAGAUAAACUAAAGGAGGCACGGCAUAUUAACAGAUCUCUCUCUGUUCUAGGGGAUGUCAUCUCUGCCCUUGCCCAGAAGAGUCCACAUGUCCCUUACAGGAAUAGUUAAGUAACAAAACUUCUUCAAGACUCACUUGGUAAGAAUAAACUAAUGCAUUUUCAGAGUAUGAACCUCAUAUUUGAUUCUGUUUUCUUUAAUUUUAUUUUUUAAAUUAUAAUAUGGCUUUUGGAUUGUAAUUCUCUUUAGGGGGGCAAACCAAGACACUAAUGUUUGUUCACAUUAGCCCUGAACUGGAUGCUGAUGGAGAAACAAUUAGCACAGUUAAAUUUGCAGAGCGAUUUGCCACAGUAGAACUUGGUGCUGCUCGUGUAAACAAGGAUAGUGUAGAUGUGAAAGAGCUAAAAGAACAGAUUGGUACUCUGAAGGCAGCUCUGGCAAGGAAAGAGGAAAACCAGAGGACAUGCAACAUUCAUUUUCCAACAGUUCUGAAAGAUGGAGAAC